rnacentral:rRNA from 1 species
AACGAACGCUGGCGGCAUGCCUAACACAUGCCAGUCGAACGAGACCUUCGGGUCUAGUGGCGCACGGGUGCGUAACGCGUGGGAACCUGCCCUUAGGUUCGGAAUAACUCCCCGAAAGGGGUGCUAAUACCGGAUAAUGUCUUCGGACCAAAGAUUUAUCGCCUUUGGAUGGUCCCGCGUUGGAUUAGCUAGUUGGUAGGGUAAAAGCCUACCAAGGCGACGAUCCAUAGCUGGUUUGAGAGGAUGAUCAGCCACACUGGGACUGAGACACGGCCCAGACUCCUGCGGGAGGCAGCAGUGGGGAAUAUUGGACAAUGGGCGAAAGGAUGAUCCAGCAAUGCCGCGUGAGUGAUGAAGGCCUGAGGGUUGUAAAGCUCUUUUACCCGGGAUGAUAAUGACAGUACCGGAAGAAUAAGCUCCGGCUAACUCCGUG